UCCGAGUUGACCCCGGCAGUAUCCCAUGAGUUCCCACCAUGACGUGCUGGCAACAUAGGACGAGGGUUGCGCUCGUUGCGGGACUUAACCCAACAUCUCACGACACGAGCUGACGACAACCAUGCACCACCUGUAUACCGACCUUGCGGGGCACCCAUCUCUGGAUGUUUCCGGUAUAUGUCAAGCCUAGGUAAGGUUCUUCGCGUUGCAUCGAAUUAAGCAACAUGCUCCGCCGCUUGUGCGGGCCCCCGUCAAUUCUUUUGAGUUUUAGCCUUGCGGCCGUACUCCCCAGGCGGAACACUUAUCGCGUUGGCUUCGGCACAGACAGAUUCGACUCCGCCCACACCUAGUGUUCAUCGUUUACGGCGUGGACUAC
rnacentral:misc_RNA from 1 species